rnacentral:tRNA from 1 species
GUUCUAGUAAUUUAAAUAAAAAUAUUGGUCUUGUAUACCAAAAAUAAGAAUUACUUCUAGAACU